UCUGGCACUGGAAAAUGACACCUGCAGUGCACUUCUGAUUGUGGGGCUUGUUGAAAACAGGUAGCUGGAAAGACUAAUUCUGCCACAACUGCUGCUUUCAACGUGCCCCAGACUAUCAAGAUCAUUUCCCAGUUGCCCAAAUCUGCAGCCCUUCAGAAACAGUUGAGUUCGAGCAUGGCUAAGAUGAAAAGGACAGAAUUUACUGAUGUGUUGCUGAACCCCAUUGAGCUAUUUCCACAAGCUGCCAGCAGUGGGUUUGUGAAGAUAAUGCAGCAAAAGGCAGCUGUGUUUCAUUUCCGGGUCACCAAUGAGAAACGCGAACAAAGAAAAAAAAAUACAUUGCCAAAUCCCUCUUGAAAAAUGCUAGUGAGCUGGCUUCAGUUAUACCUGUGUAUUGCAAAAAUAAAAAACAACUCUCCCUUGAA